rnacentral:tRNA from 1 species
AAGGAUAGUAGGGGGGC